UUGGUCACUCUCGAUCUUCAGGGAACUGAGAUCACAGAGUUUUUGGCUCACUUCUGAGCGAGCGAGAUGCUUGUUACCUGCACCUCAGCAGGUACCAAGAGACAGACGGAGACGGCUGAACGUCUGAAUGGGAAAAUGAAAGCGCUGAAGGCAGUGAUCCUGGUGCUUCUCCUUGGUUUAUGCUCUUUUGGUGUUUACCACGUGGGGUGGUUCAGCACAGAAAGCCUCUGGAGCACCACAGGCGGGUUAGAAGACGUGAGCAAAACCCUGCCCCUGCCAGUCCAGCUGUAUAAGCUCCAAGAACAGCUUUACCAUCUGCGCUG